GAUAAGAAAAAAGAAGCAAAAAUUAACAACCACUGAAACUAGGGCAAUCCCGCCUUUCUUUCUUACAACAAGCUGUACAGUCCUCCCAUUACUCCAUUUCUAGUCCAAUGAGUGAUUCGGUAUCAGUUCUUCCCCAUGAAAUCAUCGUACAAAUCCUCUUAAGGCUUCCCCCAAAAUCUCUGUUGGAAUUCAUGUGCGUUUCUAAAUCAUGGCAUCAACUAAUUUCAAGCCCUAAUUUUGUCAACACCCAUCUCAAGUUAACUGUUAAUCAUACUCAUAGGGUUAUAUUUUCAGGCAGAAACAGAAAUUUCAAGUCUUGUUCUGUUCCUCCUGUGUUUUACAAUGAACAACUGGUUGAGCUAUUUGAUGUGGAUUCUCCCGUUGAUAUCCCUUUUAUUUCUGCUUGGAUUGUGGGUUCUGCCAAUGGAUUGAUUUGUCUGUGCUAUCAGGAUGACAAAAAAUUUCUAUGGAACCCAACAAUUAGCAAGUCAAGGGAAUUACCUAAGUUAGAAGCUACGGGUUACUUUGAUUGUCGAAGGGGGUUUGGAUACGAUGAGUUACAUGACGAUUAUAAAGUUGUAUUUGUUCAUUUUUACUAUGUUGGUGGGAACAAUACGAGUCUGAGGACUGUGGUCAACAUUUACAGUUUGAGGAAUGAUUCUUGGAGAACACUCCAUGACCAGCUUCAGGAUACCUUUCUGAUAAAUUCUUUGGGUAAAUUUGUCAAUGGGAAGCUUUAUUGGAAUUCGACUAUUGGCACUGGGAAUGGUGGUCGCAAUUUGUGCAUCACUUCUCUUGAUUUGGCCGAUGAGACAUGGGGAACGUUGGAGCUUCCCAAUUGUGGAAAAGUCGGUCCUAAUUACAUGAUGGGAGUUGUUGGAAGUGAUCUUUCUCUGAUUUGUGAUUGUCAUCUAGAUAGUACUACCUCUGAUCUGUGGAUUAUGAAGCAUUGCGGAGUUAAUGUAUCUUGGACAAAAUUGUUCACCAUCAAUUGUGCCCGAUAUGCUUGGCUAUAUAUGCCUUGUCCACCCACUACAACAUUCUCCAUACAAUUUCCCCAGCAAAAUAAUGGUGAACUUUUUCUUUUUCUUCGAUCAGCCAUCAUGAUAUAUGAUUGUUCAACCAGACAACUGAAGCGCACUGUUGCUGUUGAGGGAUACAACGCUACAGAAAUCUAUGUAGAAAGCCUUGUUAAUCCCCUAACGAUAUCUGGCUAGGGACGUCAUAUCCAUGAAACCUCACAAUCAUUUAGCCGAUAACUUGUAAGAUUUCUGCUUACUUUAGCUGGAAGCGGAAGAUAAUGUUGAACACUAAUCCGUACCUGCUGUCUGCUGAGUGCAUGGAUCUAAACUAUGAAGCCUCGACAUAUCUGUUUGCUGAUGUUGAACAAUGUUCUCUUUUGCUUGAUCCACGGUAUCUGUUAGUAUCAGACUUGUAGUUCUACUUUUGUACACAAAUUCUGUUUUGCUUGCUCCAUGAAUUAACGCCAUGGUUUCUGUCAAAUUUGUUAAUUUUUAUGCCCCUGUGGUUUCUGAUGACCCCCCACCCCCCCUGCUCCGCUAACUCCCAUAUUACCACGAGAACAUCCAUCAGUAUUGAUCUUACGAUUGGAUCGACCUCUUAAAGGUGCAUUAUGAAAUUAGUUAAAGCCAUGAUUGAGUCUCACAGCAUGAGAGGAUUUUGUAUAAAUAUCUGACAGAGUUCAAAAGUGUUCAUUUUUGAGAAUAGUUCAAAAGAAAUCAGAACAAAAUAUUGGUCAAUUUUAGUAUUAAAAUCAGAGAGUAUAAUUAAUAUUCAUACUAAAUACAGUAUAAAAAAACAAAAGUUAUUGUCAAACUUCAUUAAUUCGCACAAAGAAAAUAUGUGUAACAAAUUACUUGUCAUGUAUUUUUUUUAAUGUCAAAGACACUUCUGCUCUGCUUCAACAAUUCACUGCUCUGUUUCACUUCACAGAAAAACAUCCGACCAUGUUUUCGUUUCUUUCUUUUCGCGAUUGGAUUCAUCAGGUGAUUCACACCGUUCUGAUCAAAUUCAUUUCAGGGUAUGAUUUCGUUUUCACUCCAUUUUCUACAACAACUGAAAUCAUAAUCCCGAAUGAAAUCCUUACAGACAUUCUCUUAAGGCUGCCUCUGAAGUCUCUCUUGAAAUGUAAGUCCGUUUCUAAAUCGUGGCAUCAACUAAUCUCUAGCCCUGAUUUCGUGAAGACACAUCUCAAAUUAAAAACAGAUCAACUAGUACUGUUUCCAGGUAUCAAUGGAAAAUACAAGUUUUGUUCUCUCACUCCCCUCUUUAACAAACAACAUAUCGCUGAGGAGCUACUUCUCAUCGAUUCUCCCAAUUUAAAAGUUUUCUUUGUCGGUUCUGUUAAUGGGUUGAUUUGUCUGUGCAAUUAUGCGAGGGAGACAUAUAUAUGGAAUCCCACCAUUAAAAAGUCAAAGAAAGUACUUUAUCCCAAAUUGGGCAACUCUUUCUAUAACAAAUAUGGUUUUGGAUACGAUGAGUCUAGUGACGAUUAUAAAGCUGCAUUUGUGGAUUAUUAUCGUAAUUCUUACAAUGAUGAUGUGUCCAAAAUGAAGACUGUGAUCAGCAUUUACAGUUUGAGGACUGAUUCUUGGACAAUACUCCAUGACGAGCUUCAGGGCGUCUUUCUACUAAAUCAUUCGGGUAAAUUUGUUAACGGGAAGAUUUAUUGGGCUGCAUCUACUCGUAUUGGUAAUUACGAUGUGUACAACAUCAUUUCUUUUGAUGUAGCAGAAGAGACAUGGGGAAGAUUGGAACUUCCCAGUUGUGGAGAAGUUAAUUCUAAAUUCAAAUUCAAACUCGGAGUUGUGGGAAGUGACCUUUCUGUGAUGUAUACAUGUUAUCUAGGUACUGCGACUUCUGAUGUCUGGAUUUGGAAAGAUUGCAGUGUAUCAUGGAUGAAACUGUUCACCAUCGAAUAUCCUCAAAAUACUGUGCUAGUUAUGUUUUCUGCACUCAUUUUCACAUUUUCUAUACACCUUAGCCAGUCAGAAAAGGGUGACAUUUUACUUUCGCUCCCAGGAUUAAUCAUGAUAUUUGAUGGUUCAACUAAAAGACUAGAGCACACUGCUGAUGUUGAGGGAUGCAAUCCAGCAGAAACCUACGCAGAAAGCAUUGUUAAUCCCCUAAUGAUAUCCGGAAGUGGAAGCUAAUGUAGAACACUUGCCAACUGCAUGGAUAGAAGACUUAUUAUGAUCUGUUUUCUUUCUCCAUCGUGUCUGUUAUCUUUAGAAUCAAACUUUAAGUUCUAUCUUGUAUAAUGGAUAUCGCAGGUUCAUAUAACUGAUUUCGACUUGUGGAUUGUUCCCUA